rnacentral:rRNA from 1 species
AACGAACGCUGGCGGCAUGCCUAACACAUGCAAGUCGAACGAGACCUUCGGGUCUAGUGGCGCACGUGUGCGUAACGCGUGGGAACCUGCCCUUAUGUUCGGAAUAACUCCCCGAAAGGGGUGCUAAUACCGGAUAAUGUCUUCGGACCAAAGAUUUAUCGCCUUUGGAUGGGCCCGCGUUGGAUUAGCUAGUUGGUAGGGUAAAAGCCUACCAAGGCGACGAUCCAUAGCUGGUCUGAGAGGAUGAUCAGCCACACUGGGACUGAGACACGGCCGAGACUCCUACGGGAGGCAGCAGUGGGGAAUAUUGGACAAUGGGCGAAAGCCUGAUCAAGCAAUGCCGCGUGAGUGAUGAAGGCCUUAGGGUUGUAAAGCUCUUUUACCCGGGAUGAUAAUGACAGUACCGGGAGAAUAAGCGCCGGCUAACUACGUG